rnacentral:rRNA from 1 species
GUCUACGGCCAUGCCACCCUGAACAAGCCCGAUCUCGUCUGAUCUCGGAAGCUAAGCAGGGUCAGGCCUGCUUAGUACUUGGAUGGGAGACCACCUAGGAAGACCAAGUGCUGUAGGCA